rnacentral:rRNA from 1 species
CCUACGGGGUGCAGCAGGCGCGAAACCUCUGCAAUGCGGGAAACCGUGACAGGGGGAUCCCAAGUGCUCAUGCAUUGCAUGGGCUGUUCUUUGGUCUAAGUAACCAGAGGAGUAAGGGCUGGGCAAGACCGGUGCCAGCCGCCGCGGUAAUACCGGCAGCUCAAGUGGUAGCCGCGAUUAUUGGGCCUAAAACGUUCGUAGCCGGAUAAGUAAGUCUUUGGUUAAAUCCUGCGACUCAACCGUGGGAAUUCUAGAGAUACUGCUCGUCUUGAGACCGGGAGAGGUUGGAGGUACUCCUAGGGUAGGGGUGAAAUCCUGUAAUCCUAGGGGGACCACCUGUGGCGAAGGCGUCCAACUGGAACGGGUCUGACGGUGAGGGACGAAACCUAGGGGAGCGAGCCGGAUUAGAUACCCCCGUAGUCC